rnacentral:rRNA from 1 species
AUGAACGCUGGCGGCGUGCCUAAUACAUGCAAGUCGAGCGAACGGACGAGAAGCUUGCUUUUCUGAUGUUAGCGGCGGACGGGGGAGUAACACGUGGAUAACCUACCUAUAAGACUGGGAUAACUUCGGGAAACCGGAGCUAAUACCGGAUAAUAUUUUGAACCGCAUGGGUCAAAAGUGAAAGACGGUCUUGCUGUCACUUAUAGAUGGAUCCGCGCUGCAUUAGCUAGUUGGUAAGGUAACGGCUUACCAAGGCAACGAUGCAUAGCCGACCUGAGAGGGUGAUCGGCCACACUGGAACUGAGACACGGUCCAGACUCCUACGGGAGGCAGCAGUAGGGAAUCUUCCGCAAUGGGCGAAAGCCUGACGGAGCAACGCCGCGUGAGUGAUGAAGGUCUUCGGAUCGUAAAACUCUGUUAUUAGGGAAGAACAUAUGUGUAAGUAACUGUGCACAUCUUGACGGUACCUAAUCAGAAAGCCACGGCUAACUACGUG